rnacentral:rRNA from 1 species
AUACGGAGGGUGCAAGCGUUACUCGGAAUCACUGGGCGUAAAGCGCGCGCAGGCGGUCUUUUAAGUUGGAUGUGAAAGCCUACGGCUCAACCGUAGAACUGCAUCCAAAACUAUUUAGCUAGAGUGUGGUAGAGGAAGAUGGAAUUAGUUGUGUAGGGGUAAAAUCCGUAGAGAUAACUAGGAAUACCAAAAGCGAAGGCAAUCUUCUGGAACACUACUGACGCUGAGGCGCGAAAGCGUGGGGAGCAAACGGGAUUAGAAACCCCAGUAGUCC